UAGCGAAGGGGGCUAGCGUUGCUCGGAAUUACUGGGCGUAAAGCGCACGUAGGCGGAUUGGUUAAGUCGGGGGUGAAAUCCUGGAGCUCAACUCCAGAACUGCCUUCGAUACUGGCGAUCUCGAGUUCGGGAGAGGUGAGUGGAACUGCGAGUGUAAGAGGUGAAAUUCGUAGAUAUUCGCAAGAACACCAGUGGGCGAAGGCGGCUCCACUGGCCCGAUACUGACGCUGAGGUGACGAAAGGCGUGGGGGAGCAAACACGG
rnacentral:rRNA from 1 species